UGGGGAAUUUUGGACAAUGGGCGAAAGCCUGAUCCAGCCAUGCCGCGUGAGUGAAGAAGGCCUUCGGGUUGUAAAGCUCUUUUAGUCGGAAAGAAAGAGUUGCAAUGAAUAAUUGUGAUUUAUGACGGUACCGACAGAAAAAGCACCGGCUAACUACGUGCCAGCAGCCGCGGUAAUACGUAGGGUGCGAGCGUUAAUCGGAAUUACCGGGCGUAAAGGGUGCGCAGGCGGUCUUGCAAGUCAGAUGUGAAAGCCCCGGGCUUAACCUGGGAAUUGCGUUUGAAACUACAAGACUAGAGUGCAGCAGAGGGGAGUGGAAUUCCAUGUGUAGCAGUGAAAUGCGUAGAGAUGUGGAAGAACACCGAUGGCGAAGGCAGCUCCCUGGGUUGACACUGACGCUCAUGCACGAAAGCGUGGGGAGCAAACA
rnacentral:rRNA from 1 species